rfam:Solanum lycopersicum cultivar Heinz 1706 chromosome 3, whole genome shotgun sequence.
GUCUCUUUGGAGACAUUCAAUAAACUCGUAACGAUACACAGAAAAUUAAUAUGGUCCCUACGCAAGAAUGAUAUGACAAAUUGAAAAAUGGUCCUAGAAGAAUUUU